UACGUAGGGCGCAAGCGUUGUCCGGAAUUAUUGGGCGUAAAGAGCUCGUAGGCGGCCUGUCGCGUCUGCUGUGAAAUCCCGGGGCUUAACCCCGGGCGUGCAGUGGAUACGGGCUGGCUGGAGGCAGGCAGGGGAGAACGGAAUUCCCGGUGUAGCGGUGAAAUGCGUAGAUAUGCGGAGGAACACCGAUGGCGAAGGCAAUCCCCUGGGCCUGCACUGACGCUCAUGCACGAAAGCGUGGGGAGCAAACAGG
rnacentral:rRNA from 1 species